AGAGUUUGAUCCUGGCUCAGAGUGAACGCUGGCGGCAGGCCUAACACAUGCAAGUCGAGCGGCAGCACGGGGGCAACCCUGGUGGCGAGCGGCGGACGGGUGAGGAACACAUCGGAAUCUACCCUGUCGUGGGGGACAACGUAGGGAAACUUACGCUAAUACCGCAUGAUCUGGAGACAGCAAAGCCGGGGACCUUCGGGCCUGGCGCGAUGGGAUGAGCCGAUGUCCGAUUAGCUAGUUGGCGGGGUAAGAGCCCACCAAGGCGACGAUCGGUAGCUGGUCUGAGAGGACGACCAGCCACACUGGAACUGAGACACGGUCCAGACUCCUACGGGAGGCAGCAGUGGGGAAUAUUGGACAAUGGGGGCAACCCUGAUCCAGCCAUGCCGCGUGGGUGAAGAAGGCCUUCGGGUUGUAAAGCCCUUUUGUACGGGAAGAAAAGUCGCCGGUGAACAUCCGGCGAUGCUGACGGUACCGUAAGAAUAAGCACCGGCUAACUUCGUGCCAGCAGCCGCGGUAAUACGAAGGGUGCAAGCGUUACUCGGAAUUACUGGGCGUAAAGCGUGCGUAGGUGGUGAGUUAAGUCUGAUGUGAAAUCCCCGGGCUCAACCUGGGAAUGGCAUUGGAUACUGGCUUGCUAGAGUGCGGUAGAGGGUGGUGGAAUUCCCGGUGUAGCAGUGAAAUGCGUAGAGAUCGGGAGGAACAUCUGUGGCGAAGGCGGCCACCUGGACCAGCACUGACACUGAGGCACGAAAGCGUGGGGAGCAAACAGGAUUAGAUACCCUGGUAGUCCACGCCCUAAACGAUGCGAACUGGAUGUUGGUCUCAACUCGGAGAUCAGUGUCGAAGCUAACGCGUUAAGUUCGCCGCCUGGGGAGUACGGUCGCAAGACUGAAACUCAAAGGAAUUGACGGGGGCCCGCACAAGCGGUGGAGUAUGUGGUUUAAUUCGAUGCAACGCGAAGAACCUUACCUGGCCUUGACAUGUCUGGAAUCCUGCAGAGAUGCGGGAGUGCCUUCGGGAAUCAGAACACAGGUGCUGCAUGGCUGUCGUCAGCUCGUGUCGUGAGAUGUUGGGUUAA
rnacentral:rRNA from 1 species